GAGCGGCGAACGGGUGAGUAACACGUGAGUAACCUGCCCCUGACUCUGGGAUAAGCCCGGGAAACUGGGUCUAAUACCGGAUACGACCGCCCCCGGCAUCGGGUGGUGGUGGAAAGUUUUUUCGGUUGGGGAUGGACUCGCGGCCUAUCAGCUUGUUGGUGGGGUAGUGGCCUACCAAGGCGACGACGGGUAGCCGGCCUGAGAGGGCGACCGGCCACACUGGGACUGAGACACGGCCCAGACUCCUACGGGAGGCAGCAGUGGGGAAUAUUGCGCAAUGGGCGGAAGCCUGACGCAGCGACGCCGCGUGGGGGAUGACGGCCUUCGGGUUGUAAACCUCUUUCAGCAGGGACGAAGUUGACGUGUACCUGCAGAAGAAGCGCCGGCUAACUACGUGCCAGCAGCCGCGGUAAUACGUAGGGCGCAAGCGUUGUCCGGAAUUAUUGGGCGUAAAGAGCUCGUAGGUGGCUGGUCGCGUCUGCCGUGAAAGCCCGCAGCUUAACUGCGGGUCUGCGGNGGAUACGGGCCCGGCUAGAGGUAGGUAGGGGCAAGUGGAAUUCCU
rnacentral:rRNA from 1 species